rnacentral:tRNA from 1 species
GUCUUUGUAGUAUAUAAACUAAUACCUUGGUCUUGUAAACCAACAAUGGGAGUAAUUCUCCCCAAAGAUA